UCCAUGCUUUACCCAUAGGAACAUAACAGUUGUUAAAAGAACACAGGAGAGAACAAGAGGUGCGCAGAGAAGAGUUCACUUGGUGAACUGUUUAGUGACUUGUCUCAGGAUUGACAAGAAUGACAAGUUAGGCUUGGCCUAUUUAUUUCUACAGCAGCCUGAAAGGAACGUGUCCAAUUGAGGAUACCUGAGGACACCUAGUUUCCCUCAGCUUCGGACUCCCACCCAGAGGGGGGAGUCUCCAGUCAGCAUUUCAGUGGUGAAUAAAUAAGAAAAAUUAGUGCAGAUCAAGUAACAUGGAGAGAAAAAAAGAGACAGCACUAGAUACCGAAGCAGACAACAGGAGGUAAAAGCUCAGACUUUGGCAAAAACUGCAUUACCCAAUGACAGAGUGCUGAUAAGAAAGCUGGAAUUUUUCAUGGCUAAAAUACCCAGAACAGGAGGAGGGAGG